rnacentral:misc_RNA from 1 species
AAGUCGUAACAAGGUAUCCGUAGGUGAACCUGCGGAUGGAUCAUUAACACUAAAAAACAAACCCUUGCUUUUCCUAAAAACAAAAGCAUAACCCCAUAACUUUGCGAACUUGUCAACGGCAAGGGGAGGAGGAAGUAACUUUCUUCUCUUCUCUUUCCGUUCGUUUUUUUCUCUAUUUCACCAUUAUUCACUAAACUCCAUCAAAUUCAUUUUUGAUGUAUCGAACAAAACAAAAACAAACUUGACUAAGACAAAAACAAAUGAGAAAACAAAAUAAUACAACUUUUAACGACGGAUAUCUUGGCUCUC